rnacentral:lncRNA from 1 species
AAAAAAUAUGCAUUUUCAUAAGCAUUCAAAAUAAAGUACAGCUCAUCUUCAAGCACAAACAAGAUAUCCAUAAAGUUUAACAAAUUCAUCACAAAUCCAAAAAAUGUCCUAAGAAGAGCUAGGGGGAGGGAGGUCUUCGUGGGGAGCGACAUCAUCUUCAUCAGCAGGAGAAAUCUGAACCCCUGUUGCUUCUGACAAACGCUGAAGCUCUUCCUUCUGCUCUUCCACAGAUCCUCAAGGAAACCCAAGUCGAACCCUGGUCUCUCUCUGCAAAUGUGUUUUACUACUUCCUCCAGAGCAACGACGUGAGCAUCCUGACCAAGAGCGUCAAACUCCAAGGACGACCUCCAAGUCUCCAUUGCCCUUGCAACCCUAGAUUUAGCCUCCUCAGCUCUACGCAUCGCCUCUCUUGCUCUCUUAUUGCCUCCCGUACCUUCUCCACAGCCUCCUCAGUCCAAACUCUCUCUUCCUCAAUCCUCUUCUUCUCAGCCUCAGCCCUACGACUGGCCUUCUCCCUCACAGCUCUGAUCUCCCCCAUCCACUUCUCCUCCAUCUCCAGCCUCGAGUUCAGCUCAAACCUCAUCGUGUUAAGCUUCUCCUCGUAUUUUUUUUCUUUUAUUGCAAAUUGAGCUCUCUCAGCCUCCAUGCUGUUGUACAAAUUCAAGGCCUGACCCUUGGCCUCCAUCAGUUUGUC